rnacentral:rRNA from 1 species
CCUACGGGAGGCAGCAGUGAGGAAUAUUGGUCAAUGGACGCGGGUCUGAACCAGCCAAGUAGCGUGAAGGAUGACUGCCCUAUGGGUUGUAAACUUCUUUUAUAUGGGAAUAACAUGUUCCACGUGUGGUCUUUUGUAUGUACCAUAUGAAUAAGCAUCGGCUAACUCCGUGCCAGCAGCCGCGGUAAUACGGAGGAUCCGAGCGUUAUCCGGAUUUAUUGGGUUUAAAGGGAGCGUAGGAGGUUAGUUAAGUCAGUUGUGAAAGUUUGCGGCUCAACCGUAAAAUGGCAGUUGAAACUGGCAGACUAGAGUACAGACGAGGUGGGCGGAAUAAGUGGUGUAGCGGUGAAAUGCUUAGAUAUCACGAAGAACUCCGAUAGCGAAGGCAGCUUACUAAGCCAUAACUGACACUGAAGCACGAAAGCGUGGGGAUCAAACAGGAUUAGAUACCCGUGUAGUC